ensembl:lncRNA
UGCAUCUCCAUGAGCUGGGCCCAGCCGGCAGUUGCCAUGGAUACUCUGGGUGCUGACACUAGGAGGACUGAGUAGACACUGCUUGUUUAAGACACAAAUCAUAACAAAGGAUUAGAGGCACAAAGUAACCCCGCGGGGUUCUGUGAGAUACACCUCGUCCUCAUCACACAGGCACUAUAAUUAGCUGUGUGGGUGUAUGCUUGUGUGAAGGUGGAGAUCAUGGUGUUUAUUCAAAGCAUUUUACUUUGUAAAAUAGAAUGAGUUCAAGCCCAAGAACAUCAAGAAGAAGAAGAUGAGUAUUAUCAUGUCUGUGGACGAAAACAGAAGGUAAGGGGGGCGGGGGUCUCAACGAUAGGAGAUGGAUUGGGGCGUGUGGCUAUGUGGGGUUUAUUUCGGAUAAUCUUUGAAGAGGGUUUGUAUGAACGCUGUCUGUUGGUGAUAAGUGUGUGUCGGGAUGGGAUGGGGAUGUUUUGGUAUCUACAGGGAUAACAGCAACAGCACUUGACUGUAUCGUGCUGCCAGGGAGCUAGCAUGUUGCACUUCUUUAGGCUGUGUUACGUAGGACUGACACACACACAGUGAUACGGCUGCUUCUUGCCAACAGGAAACUGUGAUAUGAUAAUGACAUGUAUUGAGGUCAGCUGGCCCUGUUCCUUACAAGAAGGAGCAGGAUGAUUCCCACAGCAGCAACAUUAUCCAGGUCACCAACCAAAAUCUGUGAGGGGCCUAAAAUACUGUAAUUCAACCAAAUGACUAUCAACUCAUUGUAACUUAUUGUAGGUCUAUUUAUAGAGGAACUUAUUCAGUUGUUUAGUGUUAACAUUUUUUUAUAAGACAUUGGCCUAUAACACAGAGUUGGAAGCAGACGUUCAGCAAUGACUCUAGUAUAGACUUCUAGUGUAACAAAGAUGGUUCUGUGCAUAUUUAAAAGCCUAGAUGUAUUGAGUUUCAGUGGGUUUUAGAAUGGCUUUACUUUUCCCCAGUGCAAAUGUCAGUGUUCCAUUAGGCCUUGUGGUUUCCUAUGUCCUGAUUCUGGCAUUGGACAGAAUAAUCCUCAUAGUAUCCUCAUCCUCAUAUUCAAUCUCAAUUCCACAUGAUAUGGAAUUAAAUGCAACUGUGGAUUGAUUAUGUCACAAUCAAUAGAAGAGUCUUUGGUUACUACGGCGUUGUUAACCUAGAUGAACUGUUAGUCAUGCGGUCGUGAUUAUGACUCAAUAUGUCAGAACACUGAGAAACACCACUGCUGUUCUGUCCAUAGAAAUAGAAUCAUGUUCUAGUUCUCUGGUUCCGUCAUUCAGCCACAAGACAGAAAGUUGCCUGAAGGCUGUGGAUCAUUGUAUUGUUGACCCAGACGGAGUGUACUUCACAAGGAUUGUCUUUUUCUGAGAAAGCUAACCAUGGAUAACUCUCCUGAAGGUAAGCACUGACUGGACUGAUGUAAAGGUUGAAAAAUGCUGGCAACUUUCCCAAAACUACCAAUGGAGCAAGAUUUGACUUCAUUUCUACAGUCCAAUAGUCAUGGUGUGCUGAAUGUGCCAUUGCUGAACCAAGGCGGUGUCCUCUAAUCUUCCUCGCGUUCUUUGUUUUAGUGAACCAGGAGCAGGGAGACAUACCAAUAAUCCCAUUGGUCCAUGAGCCCAUGUCAGGCUCCUUGAUGACAACAUGCCUAUGGCACCUGAAGCGGAGGGGAUCCAACUGAAGAACGUCACCCCUGCACAGUGGGACAGAAUCCUCCCGAUAGGAAUCAUCCAGAGGGAGGAUCCCAACCAGAACCAAUCAUUCCAACAAUACGUCAUCCCAAUCAAAAACAAUGGAAUGGAACAGAUGGAAUAUCAUGGACCACCUCCACCUCCCAUCAUCCCCAUGGUGGGAUCCUGGGACACUGGAGUGAAUGCUCCACGUUGUGGAGAUUUCUAUGCCAGGAGAAAAGAUAUCCGGAGUAGAUAUGUGGCGGAUCCUGCUUUAAUGACCAUCACCAAGCCAGAACACUUCGAGGCCAACCCUCAGAGCCAGGCUGGCAGUUGGCCGGUGGCUAAACCUCAGCACCCAGCACCCCCAGUACAGAAAACACGAAACAGUGGAGGCUGGCUCAGGUGGUUCUUCGGAGAAAAGGAAGAAGUUCUUCAGAUGACAAGGAUACCAGAUGACAAGCCUAAUUCUAUUGUCUGGGAUCAAAACCUGCACAGAUGGGUUGACGCAAGUCCCAUGCCCAAGACUGAGAACAAGCCUGUUCCACCUCCUCCCCCGAUGGGGAUGUAUCUGGAGAACUCUAGUCUCCCCAAAGGAGUGAAUCCUUACUCCAUGAAAGCAGCAGAUCAAGGAAGCCUAGGGGACAGGUAUCCCAAGCUAUUGUACCAUGGUGGGAUCACUACAACACCUCCAUACCAGGGUCCUGGAUCGCUCCCUGCCCAGCAUGCAACACUCAUGGCACCGAUGACUGUGCCAUUCGAUGUUGACAGGCAGAAACUUGGCCCAGGCACUCUACCCUUUUGAGAAUCGACACUGAACAAUCCUUCUGCAACGAUUUAUUUAAUUAGCUUUAAUAUACAGCAACACUUGGCUGAAGUUUCAGUGAUUUUUAAGCUAUUUAUUUUUGUCUCACAGGUCGUUUUCCAGGAGGGAUCAUUUGAUAUUUCAGCAUUUUAAAAGACAAAAUAAAAUAAGAUUUCGGGCUUUGAAAAGUUAUUAAAAAUCUGUAUGUUCACGUAGCUUUGAUAUGUUUUCUGGCAUCCUUUACAAGCCCAUCGCUUGUGCACAUUUCUCUAUGUUACAUACUUUACAGAUGGGUAUAUUAUUUAUACAUAUGUUUUUCAAAAUAUAUUCAAAAAAGAAUUAAUCUAUUUCAUAAACAUAAUAUCAAAUGUAAAUAAAGUGCAUUUUAAAUUGUACACCAUAUAUUUCAAUAUAUGACUUUACUGCAGGCCUAGCGUUGUGGGUGGGCCUUAGGGAGCCAUGCUCGCCCUACCGCACCUCCUAGCCUGUCCAAAUAAAAUACAUGGUUGAAUGAAACUUUGCAAGACUUAUAUUUUUUUGUUGUUGUUGCUAUAACACUAAUGUAUGAUAUUUGUCCAUUUAAAGUUUUA